GUCUAUGACCACACCAUGCUGAGUACACCCAUCUUGUCUCAGAAGCUAAGCAGAGUUGGGCCUGGUUUGUACUCAGAUGGGAGCAGACUACACCGUGCAUGUGCAGAAACCAAGAUGAUGGCA
rnacentral:rRNA from 1 species